UUUUUUUUUCGUGUGGCCGUCCGUCUGUUAUUCAGUAUUCGUACGAGAACACAUAUGAAACUUUGCUUUCGACAAUUUUGAAUAAAACUUAACUAUUCACAUUUAUUUAGGGGGUCCAUUAAACAGAGGAAGUUCUCUUUGUAUUGUGAAUCUUUUAUGAUAUCGGAAAUUCGUUACCGGCUAAAUCAGCGGUUGGGUCAUUUUUUUAACGUCUCCCGGCCGAUCGUACGAGAACAUUAUGGUCAAUGCCUUAGUAGUUAAACACUCCCAUUCGUAGAAACAGACACUUUCUAAACUAAGUGUAUACUAGUUUAGAAAGAACCUGGUUGUAG
rnacentral:lncRNA from 1 species